rnacentral:rRNA from 1 species
UACGUAGGGGCCAAGCGUUGUCCGGAGUUACUGGGCGUAAAGCGUGCGCAGGCGGCUCGUUGCGCCCGACGUGAAAGCCCCCGGCUCAACCGGGGAGGGUCGUCGGGGACGGGCGAGCUUGAGGGUGGCAGGGGCUGGUGGAACUCCCGGUGUAGUGGUGAAAUGCGUAGAGAUCGGGAAGAACACCCGUGGCGAAGGCGGCCAGCUGGGCCACACCUGACGCUGAGGCACGAAGGCGUGGGGAGCGAACGGGAUUAGAUACCCCGGUAGUCCACGCAGUAAACGAUGCAGACUAGGCGUGGGGGGACUUGACCCCCUCCGUGCCGGAGCCAACGCGGGAAGUCUGCCGCCUGGGGAGUACGGCCGCAAGGCUAAA